UGGGGAAUAUUGGACAAUGGGCGAAAGCCUGAUCCAGCCAUGCCGCGUGUGUGAAGAAGGUCUUCGGAUUGUAAAGCACUUUAAGUUGGGAGGAAGGGCCAUUACCUAAUACGUGAUGGUUUUGACGUUACCGACAGAAUAAGCACCGGCUAACUCUGUGCCAGCAGCCGCGGUAAUACAGAGGGGNUGCAAGCGUUAAUCGGAAUUACUGGGCGUAAAGCGCGCGUAGGUGGUUUGUUAAGUUGGAUGUGAAAUCCCCGGGCUCAACCUGGGAACUGCAUUCAAAACUGACUGACUAGAGAGUAUGGUAGAGGGGGGGGGAAUUUCCUGUGUAGCGGUGAAAUGCGUAGAUAUAGGAAGGAACACCAGUGGCGAAGGCGGCCACCUGGACUGAUACUGACACUGAGGUGCGAAAGCGUGGGGAGCAAACCGGAUUAGAUACCCUGGUAGUCCACGCCGUAAACGAUGUCAACUAGCCGUUGGGAGCCUUGAGCUCUUAGUGGCGCAGCUAACGCAUUAAGUUGACCGCCUGGGGAGUACGGCCGCAAGGUUA
rnacentral:rRNA from 1 species